rnacentral:ncRNA from 2 species
GGCGAAAGACUAAUCGAA